CUCUAUCUCCUUGCAGCUGCUGCUGCGGCUGCCAGACGGAGCCUUGGCGAGGAGGGAAAAUGGCAGCUGCUGUUGGCAUCAUCUAGAAUGUGCCUGGAAAUGUCAGGAACUCCAUCAGCAAAUGCUCGUUGCGUGGGACUGCGUCUGUGUGUGUGUAUGUGAGAGAAGAGAGAGACAGAGGCAGAGGAGGAGAUGAAAAUAGCAUAAUUUCGGUUAAAACCGGAGCAAACUUGGGUUGAAGGAGAGAGAGAUGUGACAGGGCUGGAGUAGGGGCGGACGGACGAGCAUCUGGGAAGCGAUCCAGGCACCCCGGGGAGGAAGUCUGGAUAGAGAGGCUAGAGACCCACGGCUCCCAGGGGCCACGGGACAGAGAAGAGUCUCGUGGCGGUUCCUGCUACCCUGAAUCCUGUGCUGCUGGCAUCCCUCUUCCUGGAGCGCCUUCCUUUCUCCUCUGUAGAAGCCUGAAAUCUGGCCACGCCCGCACCCCUCAUCUGUGCAGACUUUUGUGCAGCAUCCUGUUGACUGUCCUGGGCCUGGAGUUCCCCGCGGGAACAUGUACUGGGCACCUGCCAUACGGGCAGAGAAUGUGACGCGGUAACAUGAGGGUGGGGGGCCUUGGCACUUGCGCAGUUUGUCCCAUUAAAGAAGGAUGCUUUUCUUUCCCCCUCAUUCUUAUACCAUCUCUGCAGAAAGUAUGUGAUGCAUUUCAUUGUUAGAUUUCUUCUUCUUUGAUUAUUUUGCAUCCUUUAGCUAAAUCAAGCUUUGUUGAAGGUUUUUUUUUAAAUCUACCUAUUUAUUUCUUUUUCUUUUAUCUUUUUUGUAAUAAUUGUUACUUCCCCAAUACAACUUUUUCCUACUGUACAGCAUGGUGACCCAGUCACACAUACAUGUACACAUUCUUUUUUCUCACAUUAUCAGGCUCCAACAUAAGUGACUAGACAGAGUUCCCAGCACAAUACAGUAGGAUCUCAUUGCUAAUCCAUUCCAUAGGCAGUAGUCUGCGUCUAUUAACCCCAAGCUCCCCAUCCAGCCCACUCCCUCCCCCUGCCCCUUGACAACCACAAGUCUGUUCUCCAAGUCCAUGAUUUUCUUUUCUGUGGAAAGGUUCCUUUGUGCCAUAUAUUAGAUUCCAGUUAGAAGUGGUAGCAUAUGGUAUUUGUCUUUCUCUUUCUGACUGACUUCACCCAGGAUGAGCAUCUCUAGUUCCAUCCAUGUUGCUGCAGAUGGCAUGAUUUUGUUCUUUUUUAUGGCUGAGUAGUAUUCCAUUGUGUAUGUAUCUCACAGCUUCCUAAUCCCACCAUCUAUCAGUGGACAUCUGGGUUGUUUCCAUGUCUUGGCUCUUGUGAAUUGUGCUGCAAUGAACAUGCGGGUGCAUGUGUCUUUUUUAAGGAAAGUUUUGUCCGGAUAUAUGCCCAAGAGUGGGGUGGCUGGGUCAUAAGGUAGUUCUAUGUAUAGUUUUCUAAGGUACCUCCAUACUGUUCUCCAUAGUGACUGUACCAGCUUCCAUUCCCACCAGGAGUGCAGGAGGGUUCCCUUUUCUCCACACCCCCUCUGGCAUU
ensembl:lncRNA